rnacentral:rRNA from 1 species
UACGAAGGGGGCUAGCGUUGUUCGGAUUUACUGGGCGUAAAGCGCACGUAGGCGGAUUGGUCCGUUAGGGGUGAAAUCCCAGAGCUCAACUCUGGAACUGCCCUUAAUACUGCCAGUCUAGAGUCCGGAAGAGGUGAGUGGAACUCCUAGUGUAGAGGUGGAAUUCGUAGAUAUUAGGAAGAACACCAGUGGCGAAGGCGGCUCACUGGUCCGGUACUGACGCUGAGGUGCGAAAGCGUGGGGAGCGAUCCGG